rnacentral:rRNA from 1 species
CCCUUAGAUGUUCUGGGCCGCACGCGCGCUACACUGAUGCAUUCAACGAGUCUAAAACCUGGUCUGAUAGGGCUGGGUAAUCUUUUGAAUGUGCAUCGUGAUUGGGAUAGAUGAUUGCAAUUUUUCAUCUUCAACGAGGAAUGCCUAGUAAACGCAAGUCAUCAGCUUGCAUUGAUUACGUCCCUGCCCUUUGUACACACCGCCCGUCGCUCCUACCGAUUGAAUGAUCCGAUGAAUAUCAUGGAUUGAGGAUGCAAGUAGGUUCGCCUAUCUUCAUCUUCGAGAAGUGAAGUAAAUCUUAUCAUUUAGAGGAGGGAGAAGUCGUAACA